UUUGCAGAAUACAAAAGAUAAUCCUCCCAUGCAAUACCUUUUUUAAUGGCAAUCUUGGGGAGAAUGUAAUCGAGGAUGAACUCAGAAGUCUUUUCAGUGUGUAAGGGUUCUCCUUGCCGGUGAGUCCUUCGCCGCAGAUCUCCUCGCCAACGAGUUUAUCACUACCGAUCUCCUCGCCGCCAAGAUUCUUAUUGGCAAUCUCCUCUCUGACAAGCUCUCCACGGUCCCGAUCUCCAAUCGAAGAAAAAUCUAUAAAAAAAAGGGAAAUGAAUUGUUGCUGAAAUAGGAGUUGAAGCAUUUUUUUUAUCGUUUUUAAGUAUUUUCUAUUUUCAAAGUUGAGAGAGUCAGGAAUGAUGUUGAACUGUAUAUCGAAUAUUAUCACUCUAUUGCUUUUGAAUUGAUUUUGCUAUUAUUUUGUUUUUAAGCUGUUGUGGAUCAGAAGACAAUUAGCUUUUUAAAUUGUUGUUAACAAAAUAAUUUUGUUUACUUUAA